GCUGCUUGGUUGUAGGACUGAAGCAGGAGUCCGUCUAGAACGGGCUCUCAUGUUUUCCCGUCACAUCCAGCACCGCGUGCUCAUAGUCAGCAGCUGGGUUAGAUAGGCUGCGGGCUCUCAGGGGCUGGGCCACAGGGAGCUCUGCUCCACUAAGUCCUCUGGGGCCCCAGGUUCCUUCUGUCUUGUUAGUCACCAUGUCCAGGUCCCAGCCUGUGUGAUGGGGGAAAGAGAGAGGAAGAGAAGCGUAGGCAGUUUUCUUCCGAGGAAGCGAUGUGGAACUCCCACACAUCAUGUCUUGUCUUCUCAUGUUCAUGUUUGGCAGCUUUGUCAGAUGAUGUUCACGUACUUUGCUGGGUGCUGAGUGGGUUACAAGAUGAGCAGAGGACACAGCCCCUGCCUGAGAAGAAAUCAGACAACACUCACCUGAAACUGGAGUGAGAAGGUGGCUCCCAUUUAUUUACUGUUUAUGAAGAAGACAUUGCCUCCUUGUUAUGUGCUGGAGAGAUUAUUAACACAGGAGACAUGGAGGCCAGAGAGGGAACUCACUCAAGGCCACCCAGCCUGGAAGUGGCAGAACCAGGUCAAUGCAGGGCUUGACUUCGAAGCUGGUGCACUGAAACAGUUUAAGAAGUUUUAUCAAAUUAUCUUGCCAUCUCUCCCCAGCCUGCCCGAUGACUUCUGACCCCAUUCUCCCAGAAACAACAUCAUUCAACCCAUUUAACUGUUUAUUCUGGCAUUUGCUUCCAUAUUUCUGGAUGAUGUGUAUAUGAAACUACCUCUGGAUUCAUCAAUUUGACCAUUAUUGCUUGACGUCCAAUCACGGCAGAGGAAGAUUUUAGCCCACUUACGUCUCGUCUUUCCCUUUCCUUCCAAAAUAGUUUGUCUCAAUGCUUUACGAAAUCCCUUAUUCAGUAUUUACAUUAUCAUGACUUUGUAAGCAUUGCUGAUUGUCGAAUCUGAUAGUCUAUUGUGAUUAAAUUUCCUUUCUUGUAUGAUUUUUUUGUUUGCUUAGUUUUCUUUGAAUAUCUGACAGGUCAUGCCCCACUCUUCAACAGC
rnacentral:lncRNA from 1 species